rnacentral:rRNA from 1 species
UACGAAGGUGGCAAGCGUUACUCGGAAUUACUAGGCGUAAAGGGCAGGUAGGUGGUCUGAUAAGUCUGCUGUGUAAGCUCCUGGCUUAACUGGGAGAGGCCAACAGAAACUAUCAGGCUUGAGUAUAGGAGAGGAUACUGGAAUUCCCGGUGUAGCGGUGAAAUGCGCAGAGAUCGGGAGGAACACCAAUGGCGAAAGCAGGUAUCUGGACUAUUACUGACACUCAGCUGCGAAAGCUAGGGGAGCAAACAGG